rnacentral:rRNA from 1 species
UACGUAGGGGCCUAGCGUUGUCCGGAUUUAUUGGGCGUAAAGAGCUCGUAGGCGGUUCGGCAAGUCGGAUGUGAAAUCUCCACGCUUAACGUGGAGGGGCCAUUCGAAACUGCCGUGACUCGAGUCCGGUAGGGGAGUGUGGAAUUCCCGGUGUAGCGGUGAAAUGCGCAGAUAUCGGGAGGAACAUCAGUGGCGAAAGCGACUUCCUGGACCAAUACUGACGCUCAUGUGCGAAAGCGUGGGGAGCAAACAGGG